rnacentral:lncRNA from 1 species
CUCUGAAACUUCCUCCCUGUCCAGUGUUAUCUACCUUGGAACGAUUGUCUCAUUUAGAGGGACUCUCUAACCUGAGUACACAUUUGAAACAUCUGAGGGCUUUGAAACAUACCUGCUCCUGGACCACCUGCUGAACCAAUUAAAUCAGAAUUUCUGUUGUGAAGAUCUCCACGUGAGUUUAAGCUUUCCUGCUCAACUGUUAGUUCCAUGAAGGCAACAGCCAUGCCUGCUUCGUUCACUGAAAUAUCUUCGUUUCCUAACACACAGAAAGUCAUCAUUUUUUGACGGAUGAAAGAAUGGAUGAAUGCCUAGUCUUGGAGACAUCUACUUGCAAUAAAGGUUAGAUGAAGGAAAUGGAUGCCAGUGGGAGAUUUGUGGAUCUAUUUCACCAGAUUUCACUCUGCUGACUCAGCAAAAUGGUCCCCGAAGAAAGUGAAGAAACAGAGGCAAAGGGAGCAUAAGCAAUUUUCCAAAGGCCAUACAACAUGUAAGUGGCUGAGCCAAGACUGAAAUCACCAGGUUCUUAACCACUAGGCCAUAUUGCAUUGGAGUGUUGCCUCCUGGAGUAAGACUAGGCUAAAAGCUUCAUAGAAACCUAAAGGAGUUAGAGAAGGAAGAUCUCUCAAUGGAAAUGCUAAGAAGAGACACAAGGAAAGACACAUCACUAAGGAGAGACCCAAGGAAAAUGGCUCUAUGACUACAGUCCAUUUAAAGAAUGAGGGCGUUCCUUCUACCAAGUUACAGGUGGAGAUGUGUUUACCUGCUGGAUACCAAUGCUUCUAGCAUCAGGGAGAAGUUGAGCCCUGGAGGAAACAUUGCCUCUAAGUUUGUGUUCUGAUGGAGAUGAUGACUACUUCACAGGCACUUUGCAAGGUCUGAUGACAUUGACAAUACAUUGGACAAAGAGCAAAGGAAGAGGAGUCUGCAAAACAACAACAACAACAACAGAAAAAAACAAAAUAAAACAAAGGGUCAUCGGAAGAGUAACAGGAGAAAGAAGAGUUAAUGUGUGGUGGAAUCCUUGGGAAAGCAUGAGUCAAGAAGUAUAGUAUACACAAUUCAGAUAACCAAGGGGUUACUUCCAAAAGGAUGAAUGUAUUUGUAGGCAAGGCGCAUGGAAAUAAGCUUUCCUGAAAUCCCACGUAACCCACAAUAGCUCUCAAAAGCUUCAAAAAAUAGUGAUGAAAAAGGUUAACUCUGAUGCUGUUCUGGAGCUGAAAGCAGAUUUUGACCUUGGAUAAACAUGCUGGAUUUUCGCUAUUGAAUGUAUUGGGCACAAUUCAAGGUGCUACAUACUGCAAAGCAAAGUAUCUACAACAACUGCAAUAAGCCACCCUGAUCAUUCUUCAACCUAAAGAUUUGCAACUCAUCCAAGUUCAACUGGUUGAAAGAGCCUGCCUCCUCACAGCAGUGCCUGAUUGACACUAUGAACUGAAAUACUAAAGGCACUUCUUCUUUCAGGAUAACUGAUUAAAUGUUCUGGCUGGUAAAGCAGGUCAUCACUCAACUGUUGUGGCUUUGGCAAGAUGCCACCAAAGCAGCCCAUCAUGGUUGGCAGAGAUGUAAAGGCCCCACAUAUUACAGAACACCCUUUGAUAUGCAGACUAAUUAAUAGAAGACCUAAGCCUUUCAAGGGACUUCUAUACCAUAGGAUGUUAGGAGACAUCAAGAACACAAAUGAAACUAAGAUUUUCAUACAGGGUUCAGGUUUUGUUACUUCAGAUCUAUAAUCUAAAGUUCUGUAAUCAUCACAUCACUCCAAGAACAAAAUUUGAUAGGCAAAAUUCUUCACACUCAUUUCAUGGAGAACCUUGAGGGUCCAGAGUGAGGCUUGAUGGCAAGCAGGAGCUCCCUGUCCCCUGUCUCCACCCAUGCAACCCCUAGCUCCCCCAUUGUUUUCACUCUAGAUUUGUGAAGUAUAACAACCUUAAAAUCUUAAGAUUUAAUCUUUAAAUAUUAAGAGAUUUGGGUUUCUGUAUCAACAAUCUUUAAAUAUUAAGAGAUUUUUCCGAAGAUUAAUGACUUUCCUAGAGUUGGCCUACAAAUUCACCACCUCAACUGGAUGACUUGCUUUGGAAUAAAUUUCUAACACCGCAAGUGAAUUGAAUAUUUUCUUCCUUUUUUAUGUAAUCUAAUAUAGUACAUUUUUAAAAAUUUAUAGGAUGUCCAGACACUUAUAGCUUAUCAUUCUAUGAUUCAAAAGAAUUUGGUAUAAUUGCAUUGAUAAGCUUACUGCCCUGGGCACCAAAGUAACCUAGAAUAUGGAGAAGUAGCUUUUGGUGACAUGCAUCUAUUUAUAUCUCUAGCAUUUACUAAUUAAUUAAUUUGUUUAACAAAUACACAUUCAGUACCAUUAUAUGUUUGGCAUUGUCAUAGAUGUUAGAAAAUCAAAUAUAAAAAAGAGGUAAUUUCUUCACAACACACGGAAAUAAGAGUAUCUCUAGGAAUUGUCUCUAGUUGAAAUUGUUUUCUCCUACCCACCUCUACGAUUCAUCAAUUUAGCUUUCCUUCACUGUAGUGACAGGUGUUUUAAUCUCACCUAACAAUAUGCCUGAUUAAGCUUCAACAUACACAGAGAGAGGCCUGAAAAACAUAACUUGGUCUCUAUGUCUAAGUUUAUGUUGUUAGUAAUAGUUAUAAGAGCCACAGCGAUGGCACCAUGGCGUUACCUUCUCUGAAGGCUUUCCCAGCUUUCCUAGCAAAGCUCUUUUCUCUUCCCUCUGGUUAAAAAAUAAAUAAAAAAAAAAUAAAGGUUUUUCCUUUAUUGUUAUUCUUAUGUGUCUGAUUUUAUCACAUUUAUUGUUUUGUUUUCUGAUUGUAUAAGUCAUACAUGCUCAUUUAGAAAACUUGGAAACUAUGGAAAAAGAGAAAUAAAAAAUAAAAUCCA